GAUGAACGCUAGCUACAGGCUUAACACAUGCAAGUCGAGGGGCAGCAUGGUCUUAGCUUGCUAAGGCCGAUGGCGACCGGCGCACGGGUGAGUAACACGUAUCCAACCUGCCGUCUACUCUUGGACAGCCUUCUGAAAGGAAGAUUAAUACAAGAUGGCAUCAUGAGUCCGCAUGUUCACAUGAUUAAAGGUAUUCCGGUAGACGAUGGGGAUGCGUUCCAUUAGAUAGUAGGCGGGGUAACGGCCCACCUAGUCUUCGAUGGAUAGGGGUUCUGAGAGGAAGGUCCCCCACAUUGGAACUGAGACACGGUCCAAACUCCUACGGGAGGCAGCAGUGAGGGAUAUUGGUCAAUGGGCGAGAGCCUGAACCAGCCAAGUAGCGUGAAGGAGGACUGCCCUAUGGGUUGUAAACUUCUUUUAUAAAGGAAUAAAGUCGGGUAUGGAUACCCGUUUGCAUGUACUUUAUGAAUAAGGAUCGGCUAACUCCGUG
rnacentral:rRNA from 1 species